CUGUUCACUUCAUGGGACAGGCUAUAAAUCUCCUGGAGUGACUAUUUUUUUGGAAACACUGACAAAGCAAGCCACAAGUCAGAAACUCCAGUGGAAACAGCAGAGAAAAUCAAGCAGAGGAACCCAACUUUGAAGCGAUAUAGCCCCUCUGAUCAUCUUGUGAGCAAGUCUGGCAAGCCAAAGUUGAGAAAAACAAACCAAAAUUGUCUUGGUAGAAAAUACAGCAAGAUGAAUGAGUUAGUCAAGAAGUUCACUGAGAGAACAGUAAGAAAGGAGGCACUGAAAUGUGAACUAAGCAUGAAAAUCUUUGGAAAUGAACUUAGCUUCUUAGAUUGUGAAG
rnacentral:lncRNA from 1 species